GCGUCGGUAGUACAACGGUUCAGCGCACGCUCCCGGAAAGAGUGAAAUCUGGGUUUGAGUCCCAGUUGACGAU